rnacentral:misc_RNA from 1 species
GAUGAAGAACGCAGCGAAAUGCGAUAAGUAGUGUGAAUUGCAGAAUUCAGUGAAUCAUCCAAUCUUUGAACGCACAUUGCGCCCCUUGGUAUUCCAUGGGGCAUGCCUGUUCGAGCGUCAUUUGUACCUUCAAGCUUUGCUUGGUGUUGGGUGUUUGUCUCGCCUUUGCGUGUAGACUCGCCUUAAAAUAAUUGGCAGCCGGCGUAUUGAUUUCGGAGCGCAGUACAUCUCGCGCUUUGCACUCAUAACGACAGCGUCCAAAAGUACAUUUUACACUCUUGACCUCGGAUCAGGUAGGGAUACCCGCUGAACUUAAGCAUAUCAAUAAGCGGAGGA